UAAGGAAUAUUGGUCAAUGGAGGCAACUCUGAACCAGCCAUGCCGCGUGCAGGAAGACAGCCCUCUGGGUCGUAAACUGCUUUUAUUCGGGAAUAAACCUCAUUACGUGUAGUGAGCUGAAUGUACCGAAGGAAUAAGGAUCGGCUAACUCCGUGCCAGCAGCCGCGGUAAUACGGAGGAUCCAAGCGUUAUCCGGAUUUAUUGGGUUUUAAAGGGUGCGUAGGCGGAUAUGCAAGUCAGAGGUGAAAGCUAGCAGCUUAACUGUUAAAUUGCCUUUGAAACUGCAUAUCUUGAGUAUAGUUGAGGUGGGCGGAAUGUAUCAUGUAGCGGUGAAAUGCUUAGAUAUGAUACAGAACUCCGAUUGCGAAGGCAGCUCACUAAGCUAUAACUGACGCUGAGGCACGAAAGCGUGGUAGCGAACAG
rnacentral:rRNA from 1 species